rnacentral:misc_RNA from 1 species
GAUGAAGAACGUAGCGAAAUGCGAUAAGUAAUGUGAAUUGCAGAAUUCAGUGAAUCAUCGAAUCUUUGAACGCAUCUUGCGCUCCUUGGUAUUCUGAGGAGCAUGCCUGUUUGAGUGUCAUUUCAAGUUCUCAAACCGCAUCAAUUUCUGAUUGGUGUGGCUUGGAUGUUGGGGGUUUUUGCAGGCUUUCUUUCUUUAUAGGAGGAAAUCAGCUCCCCUGAAAUAGAUUAGUAGUAAUAUCUGAGGCUACUACAAAGGUGUUAUAAAUUAUCUAUGCCUUUUCAUAGUAUGGCCGACUGCUUCUAACGAACGAGUGGAAACACCUUUUUGACAAAUUUGACCUCAAAUCAGGUAGGACUACCCGCUGAACUUAAGCAUAUCAAUAAGGCGGAGGA